rnacentral:rRNA from 1 species
GACGAACGCUGGCGGCGUGCUUAACACAUGCAAGUCGAACGGAAAGGCCCUGCUUGCAGGGUACUCGAGUGGCGAACGGGUGAGUAACACGUGGGUGAUCUGCCCUGCACUUCGGGAUAAGCCUGGGAAACUGGGUCUAAUACCGGAUAGGAGCCAUUUUUAGUGUGAUGGUUGGAAAGUUUUUUCGGUGUAGGAUGAGCUCGCGGCCUAUCAGCUUGUUGGUGGGGUAAUGGCCUACCAAGGCGGCGACGGGUAGCCGGCCUGAGAGGGUGGACGGCCACAUUGGGACUGAGAUACGGCCCAGACUCCUACGGGAGGCAGCAGUGGGGAAUAUUGCACAAUGGGCGCAAGCCUGAUGCAGCGACGCCGCGUGGGGGAGGACGGCCUUCGGGUUGUAAACUCCUUUCGCUAGGGACGAAGCUUUUUGUGACGGUACCUAGAUAAGAAGCACCGGCUAACUACGUG